UUUUAGUUAUAUAAGGCAUUGUAAUUUAUCAAUUCAAGGAUCGAAAAAUUUACACUAAAACUCUUCUCGAAUGCUUUCUUUUCUAUGUAAAAACUAAGAUUAUGAUGGAAUAAAGUCUUCUUCAUUAGCCAGAGUUUCUUAUUAUCAUGUUGAGGUUUUGUCUAUGCAUAAGUCUGAGCAUGCCGAUUAAUCUCCGGCUUAAGGAUUUGGACGGUCUAAUGGUAGAUCAUAGUAAGUCCAGUAAGACCCUGGAGGGGCAGGCAGCCGAUCUUAUGAGCAUUGAAGGCGACAUUGAUGAAGGCUUGGAUUCUUCCUUUCAUACAAGUGGCGUAGGUCCUCAACUUCCGAAGGCAAUUCCAUCAUCUAUCUUACGAACUAGUUAUGAUCCUAAUGAAUCUUUCGUUCCUUUCCUUUUCAAUGGAGUACUAUAAUUUUGUAUGACCUAUAUGUGGUCUUGUUUGAUUGAUGUAAGGGCUAUGCCUAUAUUUUGAUAAUCAUUUAGAUUGUAUGAGAUGAGACAAUCAUUGAGACUAUUUCUAUGUUUUAUAUAUACGUAUGUGUGAUAAAAGUAGAAGGCUAUGUAACUUUCUUAUAUGAAGAGUCUAUGCAUACUUUAUAUGAAAGCAUAUUAUGUGUA